rnacentral:rRNA from 1 species
AAUGGAUGUAGAGGAAAGUGGCGGACGGGUGAGUAACACGUAACAACCUGCCUUCAGGAUGGGGACAACAGACGGAAACGACUGCUAAUACCGAAUAAGGUUCCAAGAGCCGCAUGGCCCAUGGAGAAAAGGUGGCCUCUACCUGUAAGCUAUCGCCUGAAGAGGGGUUUGCGUCUGAUUAGCUGGUUGGAGGGGUAACGGCCCACCAAGGCGACGAUCAGUAGCCGGUCUGAGAGGAUGAACGGCCACACUGGAACUGAGACACGGUCCAGACUCCUACGGGAGGCAGCAGUGGGGAAUCUUCCGCAAUGGGCGAAAGCCUGACGGAGCAACGCCGCGUGAGUGAUGACGGCCUUCGGGUUGUAAAACUCUGUGAUCCGGGACGAAAAGGCAGAGUGCGAAGAACAAACUGCAUUGACGGUACCGGAAAAGCAAGCCACGGCUAACUACGUG